CAUAAUCAGGGUGGAGUAGGAGAGGCAAAAACCUAUAAAGGGUGUUCCACUCCAGAGCUUCCCACAUUGCAUCAGCAGUGCCUUUGAGUUUGGAGUAUUAGCUUUUCAAAAUACAAAAACAUGGCAGAAUUUAAUAGCGGAGAACUUUUAAAUCUCUUCACUCAGUUUGCUAUGAAAGAAGGUAGUAAGAAUCUGCUUUCCACUGAUGGACUUAAAAGUCUGCUUCAGAGUCACUUCUCAAAUGUUUUGGGUUCGAUGUCUCUCAAUGAUAUAACCAAAUAUGCGGACUUAGAUAAAGAUGGAAAAAUCAACUUUAAUGAUUUCAAGUCACUGCUAAGCAAGUUAAGUGGUUUGGUUGGAUUAUCUAACUUGACUGGAUUAAGUGGUUUGAUCUCCUAAAGCAUCCCAUGAAGAAAAGACAAACUGCUGCCAAGAUCCCCAACAAUCCUAUUACGGACAUUAACAAUGUUUGUAUUUGUAUAAAGAAUCUCUCUAAAACUAAAUUUAAUCAUUGUGAAAAGAUAGAUGUCACUGAAUAAAUAUCUACUUUAUCUGCUUUAAAA